CCUACGGGGGGCAGCAGUGAGGAAUAUUGGUCAAUGGGCGCGAGCCUGAACCAGCCAAGUAGCGUGAAGGAUGACUGCCCUACGGGUUGUAAACUUCUUUUAUAAAGGAAUAAAGUGAGGCACGUGUGCCUUUUUGUAUGUACUUUAUGAAUAAGGAUCGGCUAACUCCGUGCCAGCAGCCGCGGUAAUACGGAGGAUCCGAGCGUUAUCCGGAUUUAUUGGGUUUAAAGGGAGCGUAGAUGGGUUGUUAAGUCAGUUGUGAAAGUUUGCGGCUCAACCGUAAAAUUGCAAUUGAUACUGGCAGC
rnacentral:rRNA from 1 species